rnacentral:lncRNA from 1 species
AUGCUCAUGAAGCCCUUGCUGCAGCUAAUGAGCCAACAGCAGCAGGCAAAGUACCCUGUCAAGGGAAUAAUCCAAAUCACCUUUCCUGGAAGUCAGUUUGCUGAAACUACUGAAGCCAGCAGUUCUUGGAAGUUGAAGAAAAGUCGCUUCCUUAAGAUGUAUCUGAACUGUGCCUCAGACGUAGAAGAUGCCUCCAUGAACGCUGAUUGGAUGAGCAGCGGUCACCUCGUGUGUGGAUUCCUACGUACCUCCACCAUUCCACUAUACAGGGCCUGUGCUAUAAAUCGAUUUUAUUCUUUGAGCAUUCAUCAGAGAUUUUUAAUCUCUAGUUGCUUUUUGUGUUUUGGCUGUUGGGGAAGUGAAGCAAAGCUUUCAUAUCUAGUUUUUAUUUUUCAUGGGCACUUUGGUUCCACAUUGAGCUGUGAUCCAGAAGCUGGAGGGGAAGGGAAGUGA